GCCUCUUUGUCUGCUCUGGGACUUGGAACAAAAGGGGAAACUCUGAUGAACUCCUUCUCCAGCUCCCUGGACGCCCGAGUAUCUCUUUCUCGCAACUUUGUCAACGCGACUUUCUCCGCUGUCAGGCUGCGCAAAAGUAUCCUAGCGCCUCGCAGGCUGCAACAAUGGAAACAAUGUCCCUUCAAAGUGCGACGAAGUGGAGGGAGAAGGUGUCAUACCAGCGACUCCAAGAGUCAUGUCACCCACUUAGCAGGAGUACUUCUACUGAAAUGCCUUCGAAUUUCUCUUACUGGAUAUAUACCUACCAGCCGCUAGCAUGAAGAUGCCAGGACCGCUGCAAGUUAGCACUGGACAAAGUAGCAUCAACUUCUUCAUUUAGAGUUUCUUCAGUUAAAUUGCUGGGAUUUUCGACAAGGCUUUCCUUAUGUGGAUUAUUGGAGUGUGAUGCCCGAGAAUUCUCUACUUGUAGAAGCACGCCCACGGGACUGCAGAAGCCUUCACACCCACCCAGCACGCUCAGAUCAUCCAGUAACCAACCCAGGAAGUUCUUGUAAGCAUGCAUUUCUUAGUCAACACUGAAUGCCUUUAGACCGAGGUCAACCUUUUCAGCUGGUACCGUGGUUUACACUGCUGGGUUGAUGGCCUAACACUGGCUUAACACUCAUGUCGGCUGCACUAAUUGAAGUCACAUCCAAGUGGGUCAAUGCACUGAACAUAUCUGAUAUAGAAGGUCCCAGAUCCUGAAUUUUUAUCAAUGGUUUGCUGUAUAAGGCUUGCCUCCCAAAUAGCUGAGGACCCUUAUUUGGGAAGAUACGUUCUGAUGGUUAAGCAACAGCACAGAUGUCGAUGGGAAUGAGUGAUGGCCAUCCAGUGACCAGCUGGAUCUGACUGCCUUACAAGACGCAUGUGUAUGAUUAAGAGAGAGACAUUCGUGACUCCCAGAUGUACCUCCUUCCUGUCCCACAGUGUUCCUGAAGGGAGUGAGUUAUGGGGUAACUUAUAACACAGCAGGCUCUUCCUCAAGAUAGCUCUUGUCAAAACAGGAAGACGAAACUCGGGUUUCCAUGAGGAGACCACAGCUUGGGAUCCUGUCUGGAUGUACAAGCAGAAGCAUCUUCAUACUUUUCCAUUUCUAACCAUCAUGCCUCACCCCACCCUCCCAAGGCGACAUCUGCAGAGAGGAGAAUGAGGAGGAAGAGGAGGAGAAAGAGGAGGAGGAAGUAAGACAGAGGGGGACAAGAGGACCAAGAGGGCACAUGGCUGAGGAGGAGGAGAACAACAACAACAACAACAACAACAACAACAACAAGAAGCUUGGUGGUGAAACUUGGAAGCCCUCUCCAGGAUGCAGCAGGUAGCUGAGGAGAAAACGAAGACUGACCAGCCCAGAGCUCAGAGCUUCCUCCCAUGCUCAGGAUUUACCACCAAUGCCAUUACAUCGGCCUCUUCUUGUAUGCCUCUGGAAACCACAUGUGUCCUCUGUUUGUAAUGGUUUGGCUAUGGUUGCUGGCCCCUCUUGGACAUUGUUUUCAGAACUUAAAGAAACAUUGCUUUAAAGAUUUAUUAGAACAUAUUUAAAAUAAAACCAUCUUCUCAUUUAGUAUGCAA
rnacentral:lncRNA from 1 species